GGUGGCUCAGUGGUAGAGUACUUGCCUUGCAUGCAGGAGGCCGUGGGUUCAAUUCCUCAGCACCA
rnacentral:tRNA from 1 species